UUCUGACACCACCAAAUGCGCCCCGCCCGCCCCCGGCCGCCUCGCCGCAGGUUCCGCCGGCACUCAGGUGCUUCUACCGGCACGGCUUUAAGCGGCACGGCUUUAACCCGGAGUGGCCUGGCAUGCGGAGUCGCGUUGCUCCGCGGGCACAAACUGGCGGCGGCGGUGACGGGUCACUCCCGCCCCGCAACCCCGCAGCGUUAUAACCUCCAGGGGCACACGGACGCGGCUGCCGCACCGGCUGUUUCCUGGCGGGCUCGUAUUGAGGGCGCACCGCGGGCGGGCGGUGGCAGCGCGGUACCCGCUCCCCCCCCGCCCCCGCCGCUCCUCCCCUUCCCUGCCCACCCCUUCCCAUCCCUGUCCCUUCCCGCCCUGCCCUCGCCUGCCGGCGGGAGCCAUGCACGGCGGCGGUGGCGGCGGCAGCGGGGCGGCGGCGGCGGUCGGGUGGCGGUAGCGGGGAUGGCGGUGCCGGGCGCGCUGGGGCGGGCGCGGCGCCUGUGCCACUGGGGCCCGGCAGUGGCGCUGGCCGUGGUGGCCGUGUGCUCCGCCACCGCCAUGGCCGACGCCGCGCUCUGGUACUGGCCCCUGGACACGGCCGGGGGCAGCGUCAACUUCAUCAUGCUCCUCAACUGGACCGUCAUGAUCCUCUACAACUACUUCAGCGCCAUGUUCGUGGGGCCCGGGUACGUCCCGCUGGGGUGGACGCCGGAAAAAUCUCAGGAUUGCAUGUAUCUCCAAUACUGUAAAGUGUGUCAGUCUUACAAGGCACCUCGUUCACACCACUGUCGAAAGUGUAACAGAUGCGUUAUGAAGAUGGAUCACCAUUGUCCUUGGAUCAACAACUGUUGUGGAUACCAGAAUCAUGCAUCUUUCACUCUGUUUCUCCUCUUAGCUCCACUGGGAUGCAUUCACGCUUCUUUCAUAUUUGUUAUGACUAUGUACACUCAGCUUUACAACAGAAUAUCUUUUGGGUGGAGUUCUGUGAAGAUUGACAUGAGUGCAGCCAAAAGAGACCCUCGACCCAUUAUUCCCUUUGGACUGUCUGCAUUUGCUGCAUCUUUAUUUGCCUUAGGACUGGCAUUAGGAACAACUAUUGCUGUUGGUAUGCUGUUUAUUAUCCAGAUGAAAGUAAUUUUGACAAAUAAAACUUCAAUCGAGUCUUGGAUUGAAGAAAAGGCCAAAGACAGAAUCCAGUACUACCAAACGGGUGAGACCUUUAUUUUUCCCUAUGAUACGGGAAGUAAAUGGAAGAACUUCAAGCAAGUGUUUACAUGGUCUGGGAUUCCUGAGGGAGAUGGCCUGGACUGGCCAGUUAGAGAUGGGUGUCAUCAGUACACUUUGACGAUAGAGCAACUGAAACAGAAAGCAGACAAGCGAAUAAGAAGUGUUCGGUAUCGAGCCAUAGAUGAUUACAGUGGUGUCUGCUGCCCUGUGACUAAAGGUGUUAAAACAUUCUUCACAACACCGUGCACUGAAGAACCCAGAAUCGCACUGAGUAAAGGGGAUCUGAUUUUAGCCACAAGAGGCUUAAAACACUGGAUGUAUGGAGAGAAGAUUCUUGACUCAGCUGCUGAUGGACCUAGCAUUCUUCAGUCUUAAGAGCAUCUCCAAAUCACAAUUAAUUAUCCUUCUCAACAUCCUACCAGGUUGACAGACUCCUGGCUUGCCUCUGAUUAGUGAAGCAGCUACAAAUCCUCUUAGCUGAAGCAGACCGAGUUGAAAGCAAAAUCUGCCCCCUCUGUCCUGGCUGAUCUUCAACAAAUCAAGAAAAAGUUGAUAUCAAGUCAAAAGCUUUGUUAUAAAGCUGGACAGUUAUGGGCUUGUAUUUCAAAGUGGCCAGAGAUUCUAGCUACGUUCCUUCUCAAGACCAAAAGUUUUAAGUGGGUGCUUGGUACAAUUUCACCACCUCUCCUUCACCUUCUCAAGAAUUUCAAAUCCGAAAUUCCUGGCCCAGAUUAUGAGAAAACUGGAUGAAAACUUUAGUAUGUGAAUGUGCUCUAAGAAGUACCAUUAGAGAUUGUCCUUUCUUUAUACAAAAUGUGAUGCCCUAGAAAACAGUGCUUUGCAAUACACAAACGCUGCACUGCUUAUUACACAGAAAUACAAACUUUAUGUGAGUUGCACGUUUCACUAUCUCACAUCUUAUCGUAUUUUUUAUUUGAAAAGUAGGUGUCUUUGCAACUCCACUUUGUGAAGAGUAUCAUUUCUUGCUAAAGGGGGAAAAUUCAGACUCAAAAUCCCUUCUGAGCCAUAAAAUGCAGAAUGCUUUGUAAACUACUGCUGUAAUACUCCAGUAGUACUUCCUGAAGGCACUCGGUUGUGGGGAGUAGGGCAACUCACGUGUGCAUGUAGCAGUUGUUUUUUUGUCUAUCACUUCUUAUGGAUCUUCUCUAAUGUGUGAAAGUAAUUUGUAAUUCUUACUUAACAAUUCUUAUUUGUGACACACUCAAAAUGACAUCUAGAAGGAAGACCCUUAGGAGAACACCUCCUUGGGUUACUUAGAUUUCUAAUUAGAGUAUUUGCAUUAGCAUAAAGCGAUGUCUUGUAUCUUGCCACUUUAUUCCUGUGUUGCACUGCAAACAGAUAUUCAAAGAAAAAAUGUAGGCACUGGUUGGUCUGUAACUCAAGCCACAAAGAACCUGUCUUUAAAUAGCCCAAGAACGCCAAAGCCAAAGGAUACUCUCGCCUAUGUGUAGCAAUCUCAAUCAACAUUUACUUUUGCGCUCAGUAAAAGGCAAACUGGCACUGCUGCAAGGCCGGGGGGGCAGAUCGAUACCUGUCCCGAAAUUUCUGCAGUUGUUCUCAACGGCUACUCUUGGGUUGCCGUAAACCCAUUUAAACACUAUUAAACAUCAUUUCACAUCGCU